GCUCUGUCGCCCAGGCUGGAGAGCAGCGGAAGGAUCUUGACUCACUGCAACCUCCGCCUCCUGGGGUCAAGUGAUUCUCCUGCCUCAGCCUCCAGAGUAGCUGGGAUUACAGGCGCACGCCACCACGCCAGGCUAAUUUUUGUAUUUUAAGUAGAGACAGGGUUUCACCAUGUUGGCCAGGCUAGCCUUGAACUCCUGACCUCAGGUGAUCCGCCUGCCUUGGCCUCCCAAAGUGCUGGGAUUACAGGCAUGAGCCACUGCAGCGGGCGGAAAAGUACAUAAUUGACUCUUCCCCUACCUGCUCCCUUUCCCUUGCAACACAUGCAUUGAGUCACAUGACCAUACCUUCCCUCUUUCCCCUGCAGCCAGCUUUUCUCCUUUAAAUACUGAAGCCCUCAAAAUUGUCUUUGGAGAAAGGCACAGACCUGUCUCCAGGUCAUGGCCUUAACCUUGGCAAAAUAAACUUCUAAAUGGAUUGAGACCUGUCUCAGAUACUUUUUGGUUUACAAGGGCGAGCCCACAAGGCUUUAGCGGACCUCUGGGAGCGUGCACAAAGAAGGGAUGCUUGAAUUGCUUGUUUUCUCAAGAAGUGUCAGGUCUGAGAGCCUGAAGCUACCCAUCCACCGUACCCCUCACGUCUCCUCCCUGCCUUACAGGGAGGGGAUUCAGCGUUGGGUUUUGACUGUCACCAGGACUGGACAUUCUGAUGACCGAAAAAGCAGGUGGCGUUUGUGACUAUAUAUACAUAAUACAACAGAGAAAGCCAAAAAUCCAAGGAACUGCAAGAAUUUUUAUCCGGGUGAAGAUUAUCCUCACAGAAUAAAGUUAGGUGAGGAAGACAUAAACAAAGCUGUAUUUGGAUAAUGUCCCGAGUCCUGUUUGUUCAACACACUGGUCACAGCAAGACGACUGACUGAAUUAGACUCCCGUGGCCUCUGCCCAGGCGGGAUAAGAACCUCAAACCCAGGAGGGAGCGGAGGAGACGGAGCGUGGCGAGACGCGCAUGAAAUUUUGUGCCGUGACUCGGAUCGAGGGACCUCCCUUGGGAGAUCAAUCCCCCGUCCUCCUGCUCUUUGCUCCAUGAGAAAGAUUCACCUACGACCUCAGGUCCUCAGACCGACCAGCCCAAGAAACAUCUCACCAAUUUCAAAUCCGUAUAAGAAGGCAGGAAUGUCAGGCCUCUGAGCCCAAGCCAAGCCAUCGCAUCCCCUGUGACUUGCACGUAUACACCCAGAUGGCCUGAAGUAACUGAAGAUCCACAAAAGAAGUAAAAAUAGCCUUAAUUGAUGACAUUCCACCAUUGUGAUUUGUUCCUGCCCCACCCUAACUGAUCAAUGUACUUUGUAAUCUCCCCCACCCUUAAGAAGUUUCUUUGUAAUUCUCCCCACCCUUGAGAAUGUACUUUGUGAGAUGCACCCCUGCCCGCAAAACAUUGCUCUUAACUUCACCACCUAUCCCAAAACCUAUAAGAACUAAUGAUAAUCCAUCUCCCUUUGCUGACUCUCUUUUCGGACUCAGCCCACCUGCACCCAACUGAAAUA